AACCAUAGAAACCUGCGGAGUACCUGCGGAAGGAUCAUUACCGUGGGGGCCCGCCAGCGGCGGCCCCUACCGAGAUAGCACCCUUGACUUUUCAAGCACCCACUGUUUCCUCGGCGGGCUCGCCCGCCAACGGGGACCAACCAAAACCUCAUUCGCAGUAUCAGAAGUCUAAACCGUACCAAAACAAAUUAAUCAAAACUUUCAACAAUGGAUCU
rnacentral:misc_RNA from 1 species